rnacentral:rRNA from 1 species
GACGUAGGGCGCGAGCGUUGUCCGGAUUAUUGGGCGUAAAGAGCUCGUAGGCGGCUUGUUGCGUCGACUGUGAAAACCCGGCGGCUCAACCGUGUGGCUUGCAGUCGAUACGGGCAGGGCUAGAGUUCGGUAGGGGAGACUGGGAAUUCCUGGAUGUAGCGGUGGAAUGCGCAGAUAUCAGGAGGAACACCGGUGGGCGAAGGCGGGUCUCUGGGCAGUGAACUGACGCUGG